rnacentral:rRNA from 1 species
UACAGAGGGUGCAAGCGUUAAUCGGAAUUAUUGGGCGUAAAGGGUGCGUAGGUGGUUUGGUAAGUUGUGAGUGAAAGCCCAGUGCUUAACAUUGGAAUUGCUCAUGAAACUGCCAUGACUAGAGUACAGUAGAGGGAAGUGGAAUUUCCAGUGUAGCGGUGAAAUGCGUAGAUAUUGGAAGGAACACCAGUGGCGAAGGCGACUUCCUGGACUGAUACUGACACUGAGGCACGAAAGCGUGGGGAGCAAA